rnacentral:rRNA from 1 species
CAGGUUAAUAUUCCUGUACUUGGUGUUACUGCGAAGGGGGGACGGAGAAGGCUAUGUUGGCCGGGCGACGGUUGUCCCGGUUUAAGCGUGUAGGCUGGUUUUCCAGGCAAAUCCGGAAAAUCAAGGCUGAGGCGUGAUGACGAGGCACUACGGUGCUGAAGCAACAAAUGCCCUGCUUCCAGGAAAAGCCUCUAAGCAUCAGGUAACAUCAAAUCGUACCCCAAACCGACACAGGUGGUCAGGUAGAGAAUACCAAGGCGCUUGAGAGAACUCGGGUGAAGGAACUAGGCAAAAUGGUGCCGUAACUUCGGGAGAAGGCACGCUGAUAUGUAGGUGAAGUCCCUUGCGGAUGGAGCUGAAAUCAGUCGAAGAUACCAGCUGGCUGCAACUGUUUAUUAAAAACACAGCACUGUGCAAACACGAAAGUGGACGUAUACGGUGUGACGCCUGCCCGGUGCCGGAAGGUUAAUUGAUGGGGUCAGCGCAAGCGAAGCUCUUGAUCGAAGCCCCGGUAAACGGCGGCCGUAACUAUAACGGUCCUAAGGUAGCGAAAUUCCUUGUCGGGUAAGUUCCGACCUGCACGAAUGGCGUAAUGAUGGCCAGGCUGUCUCCACCCGAGACUCAGUGAAAUUGAACUCGCUGUGAAGAUGCAGUGUACCCGCGGCAAGACGGAAAGACCCCGUGAACCUUUACUAUAGCUUGACACUGAACAUUGAGCCUUGAUGUGUAGGAUAGGUGGGAGGCUUUGAAGUGUGGACGCCAGUCUGCAUGGAGCCGGCCUUGAAAUACCACCCUUUAAUGUUUGAUGUUCUAACGUGGACCCGUGAUCCGGGUUGCGGACAGUGUCUGGUGGGUAGUUUGACUGGGGCGGUCUCCUCCUAAAGAGUAACGGAGGAGCACGAAGGUUGGCUAAUCCUGGUCGGACAUCAGGAGGUUAGUGCAAUGGCAUAAGCCAGCUUGACUGCGAGCGUGACGGCGCGAGCAGGUGCGAAAGCAGGUCAUAGUGAUCCGGUGGUUCUGAAUGGAAGGGCCAUCGCUCAACGGAUAAAAGGUACUCCGGGGAUAACAGGCUGAUACCGCCCAAGAGUUCAUAUCGACGGCGGUGUUUGGCACCUCGAUGUCGGCUCAUCACAUCCUGGGGCUGAAGUAGGUCCCAAGGGUAUGGCUGUUCGCCAUUUAAAGUGGUACGCGAGCUGGGUUUAGAACGUCGUGAGACAGUUCGGUCCCUAUCUGCCGUGGGCGCUGGAGAACUGAGGGGGGCUGCUCCUAGUACGAGAGGACCGGAGUGGACGCAUCACUGGUGUUCGGGUUGUCAUGCCAAUGGCACUGCCCGGUAGCUAAAUGCGGAAGAGAUAAGUGCUGAAAGCAUCUAAGCACGAAACUUGCCCCGAGAUGAGUUCUCCCUGACCCUUUAAGGGUCCUGAAGGAACGUUGAAGACGACGACGUUGAUAGGCCGGGUGUGUAAGCGCAGCGAUGCGUUGAGCUAACCGGUACUAAUGAACCGUGAGGCUUAACCUUACAACGCCGAAG